rnacentral:misc_RNA from 1 species
UUUCCUUUUCUUUUUCUUUUUUUUCCCUUCCUUGUUUUUGUUUUCUGAGGUGGGGGAUUAUUGUGUUGCUCCCAAAUAUUAAAUUAUUAAUAAUUACUAACUAGCGGAGAAUGUGGUAUUUAUUAAAACUACUUACUACUUCUUUGCUGUAUGGGACGUCUUAGAAGAUAUAAUAUUGCACGAGUGGCCCUAUCUCUCAAGUUUAUCAAUUUUCCAGAUGGGAAAUGAAGCCAAGCUUAUCAAUUGAUCAUCAUCAUAAGUCUUGUAUAGUUUGUUGAUCAUCUUCAUAUGAUCAUCAUCAUCAAAGUAAAGACAACCGAAGACAGCAAAUUCUUCUUGCAAAGGCAUACAGACAUUUUAUGUGCAUUUUUAAGUUUGUAUGUAUCAUAGAGAUCCACUUAAUUGGCUACUACCUCUCUGCUUGUAAUUCUGUUACGAAUUUUACAGCCAACUUUUGCUUAAGUUCAAUCUUCAUUUUGUUCAAUUUAUUUUGGGAAUAGAUUUUCCUACAUAGUCCCCUGUCAAAUUCGGAUGACUUUAAUACCACAGAGUUGGAUUGAUGAAAUUCUCCUCCUGAACAAGUUCUAUCAUCAUCCAUGUUGAAAGUGCACUAGAAUGAUAGACCAAUUGUGAUGCAAAUAAUGUUACUUUUUUAUUGGAUGAUUGCCUAGAAUUUAUUGAAUAAUUAGGGGGGUGGAAAUUUUCCACAUUUUCCCUUCAUGUGUCAAAGAUUCUUCGUUCCCCUCUCAUUUAGUACACACUGCUAGUUACAUGUAUAAUUUUCUGUGCAAGAUGCAGGCAUUAUUUGUAGGUUCAUUUCCAGCUGGAAUAUUGCAAGUUCAAUUUGGCUUUAAAGCACUUCUGAAGGCUCCAUUACGUCCUUGCAUAAAGUGUGAGAAGAAGGAUGAAUACUUCGAACAUGUAUCUGUUGAACGUCCUCCUUACCAUGGUUACAUCUGGGCAACUUGAACGAGCAUUUAGUGCUUGUGCUAGUAUUCCAGGAAAGGGGUACUGGCCAGAAGGCACCGCUGAUCGAGUUAGGGCUGCCAGGGCUCCUGAACCAACAGGCACGU